AGUGAACGCUGGCGGCAUGCCUAAUACAUGAAAGUCGAACGAAGUGGCGCACGGGUGAGUAAUAUAUAGUUAAUCUGCCCUACACAGAGGAACAACAGUUGGAAACGACUGCUAAUCCCUCAUAGUUUAGGAUGAGACUAUAUCGUAUCAGCUAGUUGGUAAGGUAAUGGCGUAACAAGGCUAUGACGAGUAACUGGUCUGAGAGGAUGAUCAGUUACGUUGGAACUGAGACCCGGUCCAAACUCCUACGGGAGUCAGCAGUAAGGAAUAUUGCGCAAUGGGGGAAACCCUGAUGAAGCAACGCCGCGUGGAGGAUGACACUUUUCGGAGCGUAAACUCCUUUUAUCAGGAAAGCGGGACCUGAUGAAUAAGCACCGGCUAACUCCGUGCCAGCAGCCGCGGUAAUUC
rnacentral:rRNA from 1 species